rnacentral:rRNA from 1 species
UACAGAGGUCUCAAGCGUUGUUCGGAUUCAUUGGGCGUAAAGGGUGCGUAGGCGGUCUGUCGCGUCGGAUGUGAAAACCCAGGGCUCAACCCUGGGCCUGCAUUCGAUACGGGCAGACUAGAAUUCGGUAGGGGAGUCUGGAAUUCCUGGUGUAGCGGUGAAAUGCGCAGAUAUCAGGAGGAACACCGGUGGCGAAGGCGGGACUCUGGGCCGAUAUUGACGCUGAGGAGCGAAAGCGUGGGGAGCGAACAGG